UACGUAGGGGACGAGCGUUGUCCGGAAUUAUUGGGCGUAAAGAGCGUGUAGGCGGCUCUGCAAGUCCUGCGUGAAAUCUCGAGGCUCAACCUCGAGCGGUCGUGGGAAACUGGAGGGCUAGAGUGCGGGAGAGGGAAGUGGAAUUCCAGGUGUAGCGGUGAAAUGCGUAGAUAUCUGGAGGAACAUCGGUGGCGAAGGCGGCAUCCCGGACCGGUAUUGACGCUGAGGCGCGAAAGCCAGGGGAGCAAACGGG
rnacentral:rRNA from 1 species